rnacentral:rRNA from 1 species
UACGAAGGGGGCUAGCGUUGCUCGGAAUCACUGGGCGUAAAGCGCACGUAGGCGGGUCUUUAAGUCAGGGGUGAAAUCCUGGAGCUCAACUCCAGAACUGCCUUUGAUACUGAGGAUCUCGAGUCCGGGAGAGGUGAGUGGAACUCCGAGUGUAGAGGUGAAAUUCGUAGAUAUUCGGAAGAACACCAGUGGCGAAGGCGGCUCACUGGCCCGGUACUGACGCUGAGGUGCGAAAGCCAGGGGAGCAAACGGG